rnacentral:rRNA from 1 species
UACGUAGGGCGCAAGCGUUGUCCGGAAUUAUUGGGCGUAAAGAGCUCGUAGGCGGCUUGUCGCGUCGGUUGUGAAAGCCCGGGGCUUAACCCCGGGUCUGCAGUCGAUACGGGCAGGCUAGAGUUCGGUAGGGGAGAUCGGAAUUCCUGGUGUAGCGGUGAAAUGCGCAGAUAUCAGGAGGAACACCGGUGGCGAAGGCGGGUCUCUGGGCCGAAACUGACGCUGAGGAGCGAAAGCGUGGGGAGCAAACAGG